AGAAUCAACGCUGGCGGCGUGCCUAACACAUGCAAGACGCACGAGAAAGGGUAGCAAUACCUGAGUACAGUGGCGCACGGGUGAGUAACACGUGAAUAAUCUACCUCCGAGUGGGGAAUAACUGAGAGAAAUCUUAGCUAAUACCGCAUAACACUUACGAGUCAAAGCAGCAAUGCGCUUGGAGAGGAGUUCGCGGCAGAUUAGUUAGUUGGCGGGGUAAUGGCCCACCAAGACGAUGAUCUGUA
rnacentral:rRNA from 1 species